CGUUGUAUUUUGUGGGGGGUUUAUGUGUUGAUUUUUUUUCUAUUAAACUCGACUUUUAUUCUUUCUUUUAUUGUAUUUGUAUGCAGCACUUGAGUAACAAACUGUAAGUGAAAAUAAAACUAAUAAAUAAAUAAAAAUGUGAGAACCUGACAGAGUGGAGUGAGGGUUCAUGGGUACUCUUCUUGCAUUCUAAUGCGCAUGCGCAGUCCGGAGAGUCUCAUCUAUCACAGAUGACAGUUAACGCUCGAUACCAAGUUUAAACCAACGAGUCUCCUUUUUCAUGCUUUUAUUCAGUUACAAACAGCGCACAGAGCUAAUAUUACCCCUUUAACGCCCCAUGUACACAAUAAUCAGGUUUUGAAGGAGACAGGAAGACGUUUCUGAAGAAAGCGAGUAACCAGGAAGUGCGGAAGCGACGCUGUCGCCGCCUCACUGAUUAUGAGACCGUGUUGUUCUUCACUGGGGAACGCCGCCGGGAUUUCAGCCGUUCUCGUCGUAGGGAUUGCCCUCAUUUUUAAUUAUUUCGACGACGACACCGUUCCUGUGAAAUAUAGCAGUAUGUCUGAGGACAUCAAAGCCCAGGAGGAACAGUUCAGGCUUCAGAACCAAAGCUGCUUCAUCCUCGGUGCUUCUGGUGAGACCGGGAAGGUGUUGCUGGAGGAGCUUCUCCAGAGAAACCUCUUCUCCAGGAUCACGCUGAUCGGACGCAGAAAGCUGACCUUUGAGGGCGAAGCCUACAAGAACCUGGUUCAAGAAGUGGUUGACUUUGAGAAGCUGGAUGAACAUGCCGCCGCCUUCCAAGGCCACCAUGUAGGCUACUGUUGUCUGGGAACAACCAGAGCCAAAGCUGGAGCGGAUGGGUUUGUACGAGUCGAUCACGACUAUGUCCUUAAAUCAGCGGAGCUCGCCAAAGCAGGAGGCUGUCAGCAGUUUCACCUGGAGUCCUCCAGAGGAGCCGACAAGGACAGCAGCUUCCUUUACCUCAAAGUCAAGGGCCAAGUGGAGGCAGAGAUCGAGGCUCUGGAUUUCGAUCGAUUCUCCAUUUACAGGCCAGGGGUUCUGCUGGUCGACAGGCAGGAGAGUCGGCCCGGUGAAUGGUUAGCCCGCAAGUUCUUCGGCGCCGUCAGCGCCGUGUGCACUUCAUCCAUGUCUGUUCCCAUUCAAGCGGUGGCAAAGGCCAUGGUGUCCAACACUCUGCUUCAGCCCGAGAAGAAGACGGAGAUCCUGGAGAACAAAGCCAUCGCUGCUCUGGGGAAGAGAGCACAGAAAUGAGAAAGCUGCUGCCCUGAAGUGAGAAAAUGUGGUCCAAACCCAGCAGCCAUGAGUGUCAGGUGCUGCAAACUCAUCAGAUCACACUAAAGGAAUCAAAAGGACUUUCAAGUGUUUUUAUAAAAACUUCCCUCAGGGAUUUUCCAGAUUCUGCUUUAUUUGCACCUGAAAUGUUUAUUUUUUUUUUAUUUUAAUGAAAUAUCUGCCUUAAGGGGAAUCUUUUUUGUGGUUUCUAAUCUUUGGUUACUUUACUCAUAAACUAUUAAAGUUUGUUUUAUUCACCAGUACAGCCUACCAUGUCAGACUCAUCUUAAUGAGCAGUAACACCUAUCUGUCUAUAUUUGUCACUUACAGCCAAACACAGAAUGAAAAUAAGUUAAUUUUGUUGGUUGUUGUUGUUCACUGUAUUUAAGUAUGAGGUUUGAUGUAAAUAUUUCAUUUGUUCUCAUCAGCCUGUAAUAAAAGCUCAGGACAUUAAAUCCUGAAAAUAUCCAGA